GAGUUCGAUCCGUUGACCCCCCGGUCAGUGGAUCGGAGCCGGGGAACCACUUCCCGUCUGGGGUGAAUCGCCUCCAAGGACAUGCGCUCGCGCAUGCGGAGGAGGCGUAGGGCAUGUCGUGCCCGAACCCGUCAGCUCACCCGGUAGACGUACGACACACAAGGG
rnacentral:sRNA from 2 species